ACGAGCAGCCAAUGGGAAGCUGGGGCCCCUGGACCACGUGCUGGUGGCUGAGAGUCGGUCUGGGGUGUCCUGGGUGGUAAGGGGCGGGAGGGACUGGGGGCUGGUCAUCAGGUGGCCGAGGCUGAGUUUCGCCAAGAGUGCUCCCCACCCACGCCCGGGUCCUGAGACUGGCACAGAGCAGGGUGACAGCACACAUGUGUGAAUCUCACCGUGGCCAGGUUUGGCUUGUAACCGAGAGUUCUCAGGCAGGAGGAGGUCCAAGAAACACAGACACGAACGCACCUCAUGCAGACCAGGACGCUGAGUUCCCAGGACAGAUGCAUCCCUCACGUCUUACGACUCUGUCCCCUGGGGAUGGACAUCAGGCAGCCUCCAGCUCCCAGCCACUGCAGCCUUGGACAUGUCCCUUCAGAGACCUGUGUGGAAAUCUCCCUAGGAGAGAGACCUGGUUGCAGAGAUGCUGGAUCACAGGGCACAGUCCGUUGCUGUGUGGCGUCCUGGACUAGCUGCCCCCAGCCACACCUUCUGUCAGUGCAGAGGGUCCCAUGUACCCACAUCUCCACCAGCUGUUAGCUUUAUCCAGCUUCUGAUUUUUACCACUCUGACUCGAUGUCAAGUGACGUCACCAUUGCUAUCUUUCACAUUUCUCUGAUUUCAGGUCACUUUGAGCAUCUCCUCAUUUGCUUGAUCGCCUUCAGUUUCUCCUCUUUUGUAAAUUGCCUGUUCAUAUUCUUUGCCCUGUUUGCACUUGGGUUGCUGUCUUUUACUCGUUGAUUUGCAUGUGCUCCUCAUAGAAUCGAGCUGUGCCCUGUCCCAUCCGAUCUGUCCUACACGAAAUCUCUGCUCUCCACAUGUAGGUAUGAGCACUUGAAAUACGGCAAAUACAAAUUGCGAUGUGCCAUAAGUGUAAAAUACACACCAGAUUUCGGAAACUUAGUACAAAGAAAAGAUGUAAAAAGAUGUAAAAAAUGUAAAAUAUCUCAUUAACUCAUUUUUAUUCUGUCUACGUUAUAAUAAUAAUAAUAAUGUGGAUGUAUUGGGCUGCAUAAAAUGUACUACUCAAAUUACUUUCACCUAUUUGUUUCUUACUAUUUAAAAUUUUUUUAAUGUUUAUUUAUUUUUGAGAGAGAGAGAGAGACAGCAGGAGCCUGGGAGGGGCAUAGAUAGGGAGACACAGAAUCCGAAGCAGGCUCCAGGCUUGGAGCUGUCAGCACGGAGCCCGACACGGGGCUUGAGCUCACAAACUGUGAGAUUGUGACUGGAGCCGAAGUCGCAUGCUUCACCUACUGAGCCACCCAGGUGCUCCUGAGCCGUGUAACUCUCUUAACAGCCCUGUGAGGUAGGUGCAGUAUGAGGCAUUGCGAGCAUAUUCUCCCAUUCUGCCAUGUGAUGAUUCGUGUCACCAUUAUAUCUUUCUUGGAAGAAAAUUCUCAGCUGCAAUACAACAGGACUUACCCGCUUGUGGUUUCCACCCAUGAUGUUUCAUUAAAGGGGCUCUUCUCUUAAGUCACAAAGUCAUUCUUCUGUAUUUUCUUCUAUUCGUUCUAUGGUUUUGCUUUGCUUUUGCUUCUAUUCGUUCUGUCUUUUAUUCCAUCUCUCGUCCACCUCAGGUUGUGGGGUAGGAUACAGUCUUUUUUCUCCAUCACCUCUACUGGUCGCCGGCUGUGUGGCUCCGGGCAAGCCCCUUCGCCCUGUGUGCCUCAGUCUCCUCCUCUCUAAAAUGGGAAUAAUAAUAGGACCCACCUCCUAAAGCUGUUAUGAUUACGUCAGAAUAAAAUGAGCUCUUCUGUGUCAAGUGCCUA